CUUGUACUCCCUCCGUCCGAAAAUACUUGUCAUUGAAAUGGAUGUAUCUAGAUGUAUUUUAGUUUUAGACACAUCCAUUUUGAUGACAAGUAAUUCCGGACGGAGGGAGUACUUG
rnacentral:pre_miRNA from 1 species